UCUAGAAUAAUAAGAUGUUAAUUUAAUUAAUUAACAGUAAUUAAUUUAAUUGAUGAACAUGCGAUAAUUUGAAAUUGGGAAUUUAAUAAGCUAAUAAUAUGGAGUUGAAUUAAUUAAAUUAUAGGAUUAGGAAAAUUAGUGUCAAUAUUGAUUAUUUAGUGGAUCAAAUUAAUAUUUUGAUGAUAUUGGGCUCAGCCCAAAAUGUCACCAGACGCCAUGACCUAAUUAGUCAGAAUCUCUGUUGUAGCAUAUAUAUAUUCAUCUCUAAAAAUUGAAGUUCUUGGGGAAAAUAGAGUUUUUGGAGCUGCAAUACAAGGAGACAUAGGGUUUUAAGAAAUUUAAAAGUUGAAAGAGAAGUAAACCUUGAAAAAUCGAAAAUCACACUUUGCUCAAAGUCAAUAAGGAAAUAAAGUAGAAGACAUGGAUUGAAUCACUUCGCCUUAACGAUUAAGAUAGGAGCAAAGCAAAGGUUGUCAGGGGUAGUAAAGGAAGGGAAGUUAUAGUGGAGGACUAGUUGCAGAGGAAACGUAGCGUUCAAGCAAAUUGCUAUGGAUGGUGAUGGAAGGCCUCAGACACCACCCCCGCCUGUCUCUGACACUUCUGAGUCUGAGUUUGGCACCGAGUUAGAUGAUUCCAAUGAGAGUGCACAUGUACCUAGGAUGUCUGUUUCCGAAUCCGCCUGUAUUUCAGUCGGACCCUCAGAUCUACUUAGGCCUAUACCCGAUUCUUCUUCGGGAUCCCGUGACCCUUUAGGUAGGGAUUCUGCAGAGUUUCGAGCUUUGAUGGAUAGAGUGGCUGUUGAAAGAGGAAACCGAGUGACUAUGACCCAUGCUGAAUGGGAAGCUAGAGUGAGGACUAUAGAACAGAUAGCUAACAGGCGAUUGCGCGAUGAGCCUAUGGGUAUGGAUCCGCUUGAUGAGGCCCGUAGACUCAUGAGGUUGGUGACAUGGAUGUUGACACAGUUGAGAGCUCUAUGUGGGGACUAGCUAGGAGGACAUUUGUUGGAGUCCUAUGUUACGUAUAGUCAGGAUAGAUUUAUGGUAUUUCAAAAGAUUAACCUUUUUUAUUUAUGGUCAAUGUAUGAGGAUUUAAUAAAUCUUUGAUAUUCAGAAUGAUUUAAGACUCAACUACUCCCA